rnacentral:rRNA from 1 species
UUUACUAUGGAGAGUUUGAUCCUGGCUCAGAAUGAACGCUGGCGGCAUGGAUUAGGCAUGCAAGUCGAACGGAGACCCAGGCUUCGGCC